GACGAACGCUGGCGGCGUGCUUAACACAUGCAAGUCGAGCGGUAAGGCCCUUCGGGUACGACGAGCGGCGAACGGGUGAGUAACACGUGGGUGACCUGCCUCUAGCUCUGGGAUAAGCCUGGGAAACUGGGUCUAAUACCGGAUAUGACUCCACGGCGCAUGUUGUGGGGUGGAAAGCCUUGUGUGGCUAGAGAUGGGCCCGCGGCCUAUCAGCUUGUUGGUGGGGUGAUGGCCUACCAAGGCGACGACGGUAGCCGGCCUGAGAGGGCGACCGGCCACACUGGGACUGAGACACGGCCCAGACUCCUACGGGAGGCAGCAGUGGGGAAUCUUGCGCAAUGGGCGAAAGCCUGACGCAGCGACGCCGCGUGAGGGAUGACGGCCUGGUGUAA
rnacentral:rRNA from 1 species